rnacentral:rRNA from 1 species
AUUGAACGCUGGCGGCAGGCCUAACACAUGCAAGUCGAGCGAGCGGCGGACGGGUGAGUAAUGUGUGGGAAACUGCCUGAUGGAGGGGGGUAAAUCCUGGAAACGGUGGCUAAUACCGCAUACCAUCAGAUGUGCCCAGAUGGGAUUAGAUCGUGGGGGGGGUAACGGCUCACCUAGGCGACGAUCCCUCGCUGGUCUGAGAGGAUGACCAGCCACACUGGAACUGAGACACGGUCCAGACUCCUACGGGAGGCAGCAGUGGGGAAUAUUGGACAAGGGGCGCAAGCCUGAUGCAGCCAUGCCGCGUGUGUGAAGAAGGCCUUCGGGUUGUAAAGCACUUUCAGCGGGGAGGCGUUACCCGCAGAAGAAGCACCGGCUAACUCCGUGCCAGCAGCCGCGGUAAUUC